rnacentral:rRNA from 1 species
GACGAACGCUGGCGGCGUGCUUAACACAUGCAAGUCGAGCGGAAAGGCCACUUCGGUGGUACUCGAGCGGCGAACGGGUGAGUAACACGUGAGUAAUCUGCCCCUGGCUUUGGGAUAGCCACCGGAAACGGUGAUUAAUACCGGAUAUGACCACUUCACGCAUGUGUUGUGGUGGAAAGUUUUUCGGCCAGGGAUGUGCUCGCGGCCUAUCAGCUUGAUGGUGAGGUAAUGGCUCACCAUGGCUUCGACGGGUAGCCGGCGUGAGAGGGUGACCGGUCACACUGGGACUGAGACACGGCCCAGACUCCUACGGGAGGCAGCAGUGGGGAAUAUUGGACAAUGGGCGGAAGCCUGAUCCAGCAACGCCGCGUGAGGGAUGACGGCCUUCGGGUUGUAAACCUCUUUCACCUCUGACGAAGCGCAAGUGACGGUAAGGGGAGAAGAAGGACCGGCCAACUACGUGCCAGCCGCCGCAGUAACAC